rnacentral:misc_RNA from 1 species
GAUGAAGAACGUAGCGAAACGCGAAAGGUAAUGCGAAUUGCAGAAUCAGUGAGUCAUCGAAUCUUUGAACGCACAUUGCGCCUCUCGGUAUUCCGGGAGGCACGCCUGUUCGAGCGCCAUUACGAACCCCAAGCAGUGCUUGAUGUUGGGCGACGUCCUUUGUGGAAACGAGGGACGCGCCUGGAACGCGUGGGCGCCGCCGCCAGACCACGAGCGUAGCAAGACGCAAGUCAUCGCUGUGUUGGAUCCUGGCGGACGGUCUGUCUGUGGUGAAGUCUGUCUUCUCGCGAAGAUGGAACACACGAUACCCAAGUUUGGCCUCGGAUCAGGUGGGGAUACCCGCUGAACUUAAGCAUAUCAAUAAGCGGAGGA